UUGGGACAGAGACCUAUGGCCUGCAAAGCUGAACUAUUUACCAUCUGGCUCUCAAGAAAAGGGGAAAAAAUGCUUAUCUUUGUACCCCGACAGUCUUAGAUUAAGAGGACUUUGUACCACCCUGACGUCCCAGGCGGCCAUGAGUCCAGCCACCCCUGAAAUGUACACAAGUCUGGGCUUGGGUUGCAGCAGAUAACCUUCACUCUUCUCUGCAACGAAUCCCAAAAGUAUGUAGUUAAGCUGACUGCAAGGUGUUUGACACGGAAGAGACUCCACAAAUGGGAUUCGGCCUCUGGAAAGUGGUGGUAGUUCCAGAUUUAUGUGGAUAUUACUUUGUUUUUCCCUAUAAAAUAUAUUCUUUAAACUAUCAA
rnacentral:lncRNA from 1 species